rnacentral:rRNA from 1 species
UCAUUAAGUGAAUACAUAGCUUAAUGAGGGGAACUCAGGGAACUGAAACAUCUAAGUACCUGAAGGAAGAGAAAGAAAUUCGAUUCCGUAAGUAGCGGCGAGCGAACGCGGAUUAGCCCAAACCAAUAAAGUUUUCUGUAUUGGGGUUGCGGACAUAUCAUAACGAAGAGGUAUCGUAAUUGAAGAGGUUUGGAAAGACCCACCACAGAAGGUAAUAGUCCUGUAUGUUAAACGAGAAGACUU